UACGGGGGGGGCAAGCGUUGUUCGGAAUUACUGGGCGUAAAGGGUUCGUAGGUGGCUUGUUAAGUCAGACAUGAAAUCCCUCGGCUCAACCGGGGAACUGCGUCUGAGACUGAUGAGCUCGAGUGCAGGAGAGGAACGCGGAAUUCCAGGUGUAGCGGUGAAAUGCGUAGAUAUCUGGAGGAACACCGGUGGCGAAGGCGGCGUUCUGGACUGCAACUGACACUGAGGAACGAAAGCCAGGGGAGCAAACGGG
rnacentral:rRNA from 1 species